GAAAUUCACAAAAUUUCAAAAAAUCAAGUGACAAAAGGUGGUGAAUCCUCCGCUAAGGGCAAAGAAAUUGUACCCGAGGAUCGAUAGUCAGAGUACUCUAGAAAUUCGACUCCCGAAAUAACUCUGAAUAGGCUGUAGAUAGCUGAUUUCAUCGAGGCUA